AAUGAACGCUGGCGGCAGGCCUAACACAUGCAAGUCGAACGGGUCCUUCGGGACUAGUGGCGGACGGGUGAGUAACGCGUGGGAACAUACCCUUUGGUACGGAAUAGCCUCGGGAAACUGAGAGUAAUACCGUAUGUGCCCUUCGGGGGAAAGAUUUAUCGCCAAAGGAUUGGCCCGCGUUGGAUUAGGUAGUUGGUGGGGUAAUGGCCUACCAAGCCGACGAUCCAUAGCUGGUUUGAGAGGAUGAUCAGCCACACUGGGACUGAGACACGGCCCAGACUCCUACGGGAGGCAGCAGUGGGGAAUCUUAGACAAUGGGGGAAACCCUGAUCUAGCCAUGCCGCGUGAUCGAUGAAGGCCUUAGGGUUGUAAAGAUCUUUCAGAUGGGAAGAUAAUGACGGUACCAUCAGAAGAAGCCCCGGCUAACUCCGUG
rnacentral:rRNA from 1 species